rnacentral:rRNA from 1 species
CUAUGCUUGAGUGGGGCGAAGCCAGAGGAAACUCUGGUGGAGGCUCGAAGCGGUGCUGACGUGCAAAUCGCUCGUCAAACUCGGGUAUAGGGGCGAAAGACUAAUCGAACCAUCUAGUAGCUGGUUUCCUCCGAAGUUUCUCUCAGGAUAGCAGGCCGACAAUGAGUGUUAUGUGUGGUAAAGCUAAUGAUUAGCGUAGUUGGGGGCAUUUUGUCUUCACUCGAUUCUCAAACUUUAAAUACGCAUGGAUGUUGCUGCUUUAUUGAGCGGUUUCGUCAAAAAUGUCGGACUUGUGGGCCACUUUUGGUAAGCAGAACUGGCGAUACGGGAUGAACCGUAAGUAUGGUUAAGGCGCCCAAGUGCCCGCUUAUAGACCCCAAAAAAGGUGUUGAUUCAUAUAGACAGCAGGACGGUGGCCAUGGAAGUCGGAAUCCGCUAAGGAGUGUGUAACAACUCACCUGCCGAAUGAAUUAGCCCUGAAAAUGGAUGGCGCUGAAGCGGGUGGCCGACACCAUACCGUUUGAACAAAGUGGUUUUCAAAUGAGUAGGAGGACGUGG